GACGAACGCUGGCGGCGUGCUUAACACAUGCAAGUCGAACGGUGAAAGCGGAGCUUGCUCCGCUGGAUCAGUGGCGAACGGGUGAGUAACACGUGGGCAACCUGCCCCUCACUUCGGGAUAACUCCGGGAAACCGGGGCUAAUACCGGAUAUGACCUCCUUGGGCAUCCUUGGAGGUGGAAAGUUUUUCGGUGAGGGAUGGGCCCGCGGCCUAUCAGCUUGUUGGUGAGGUAGUGGCUCACCAAGGCGACGACGGGUAGCCGGCCUGAGAGGGCGACCGGCCACACUGGGACUGAGACACGGCCCAGACUCCUACGGGAGGCAGCAGUGGGGAAUAUUGCGCAAUGGGCGAAAGCCUGACGCAGCAACGCCGCGUGCGGGAUGACGGCCUUCGGGUUGUAAACCGCUUUCAGCAGGGAAGAAGCCGCGAGGUGACGGUACCUGCAGAAGAAGCACCGGCUAACUACGUGCCAGCCGCCGCCGUAA
rnacentral:rRNA from 1 species